rnacentral:rRNA from 1 species
AUUGAACGCUGGCGGCAUGCCUUACACAUGCAAGUCGAACGGUAACAGGUCUUCGGAUGCUGACGAGUGGCGAACGGGUGAGUAAUGCAUCGGAACGUGCCCAGUAGUGGGGGAUAGCCCGGCGAAAGCCGGAUUAAUACCGCAUACGACCUGAGGGUGAAAGGGGGGGAUCGCAAGACCUCUCGCUAUUGGAGCGGCCGAUGUCAGAUUAGCUAGUUGGUGGGGUAAAGGCCUACCAAGGCAACGAUCUGUAGUUGGUCUGAGAGGACGACCAGCCACACUGGGACUGAGACACGGCCCAGACUCCUACGGGAGGCAGCAGUGGGGAAUUUUGGACAAUGGGCGCAAGCCUGACCCAGCAAUGCCGCGUGCAGGAAGAAGGCCCUCGGGUUGUAAACUGCUUUUGUCAGGGAAGAAAUCUUCUGGGUUAAUACCUCGGGAGGAUGACGGUACCUGAAGAAUAAGCACCGGCUAACUACGUGCCAGCCGCCGCAGUAACAC